CUCUAUUGUUGUUGUUUCUCUCUUCUACUUCAGAGAAAAAUGUAUACUACUUUGGCGAGGGGGCUUUCGUUUCGGCAAGAUUGCUCAACUUUCUUCUUAGUAAAAACGGUACACAAUAGGGAUCUCGGGUGGUGAGAGGAAACGUGUGAGCAUAGCUCACGAGGUACUCAUCAACCUGAGCCUUUUGGUUCUUGAUGAGCCCACGUCGGGGCUUGACGCGACGGCGGCUCUCCGGUUGGUUCAGACGCUAGCCGGGAUGGCUCAUGGGAAAGGGAAGACGGUGGUGACGUCUAUUCACCAGCCGUCGAGGCGUGCGUUUCAGAUGUUUGAUACUGUGCUGCUUUUGAGUGAAGGGAGGUGUUUGUUCUACGGUAAAGGACGUGACGCCAUGGCUUACUUCGACUCCGUCAGAUUCUCGCCGGCGUUUCCAAUGAAUCCGGCUGACUUCCUUCUCGAUCUUGCUAACGUGUAACACUAACACGUAAUACGGAAGGUGAACCCUCGGGAUGAAUCGGUGAGUUCGGUAACGGAAGUUACUUGAUGUCAUCGUCCGGUUACUUCGGCGGUUGGAUAAGUGAUGGAAGUUGUGAGAAGGAAGAGAGAGAUCAAGAUCGAACGGUUCAGGUGCGUCGUGGACAUUGCUUGAUUUGGUGAGAGAGAUAGCAAGUUUUUGUUGAAGAAGGAAAAGUUCAAACUUUGUGGGAAAGAGGGAAGUAAAGCAAAUUGGGAUUUUAAUGCAAUGCAGAAGAUGCACAUGAAUAGACGUUAAUUAGUUCGUUUUGUGGUUCAUUUUCAUAGACAUAAAUAUUGUACGUGAUACAUUCCGAUCGAUUUAUUUCACUUUCUAUUGCUGUCUACCUGAUUAUUUAUAGUACGUAAGAAAAUGAUUGGUUUUAAGUAUUUUACAUGAAAGUGUAGAACGUGUAUACAACUAAACAAACCAAUACAAGAAAACAAGAACGUGUAUUGAGCGGUUACGUGGAUCUUAAGCUAUCUAUCUGGUCUUUAUUAGUUUCCAUGGGCUAAAAAUGAUUCCACCAAAACUAUUUAUAAAUAAGAACUGAGACUGGUCUCAGUUUAUCGACAAAAAGGUAUUACAUGUAUUCAAAAUAAUUACAAUUUGCAUAUAAAUUAAUAGCAAAAAAUAACCAGAAAAAAUCGACGAAGAGCAAAUUGAUAAUUUUAUCAUAGACCACACGUAAAAAUUGGAGGAUGAAAUUUGUGAAGUCUCAAAGUUUUUUCGUUUAUUCAGUUUAAAAUAAAAGAAAUAUUAAACAAAAAACUAAUCAAAAAUUUAAUCACAUUCAUGCAGAUGUUUUUAUUUUCCAAUGAACUUAAUUUAAGAAUAACUAUGCUUUUACUUUUAUAUGAUAUUAUUUGCUCAUACCACUGUCAAUUUUGAAGCAAAAUUUUAUUUUAACAUAGCUCAUUUGUCUUUUGAUAAAAUUUAUGGUUGUUAUUUAUUAUUGUACACAUUUUAAUUAGAAUAUUUUUAUUUUAUAUUUGAAAGAGAAAUGAAUAUUCAUUUCUAACAAAAUAUUUUAAAACUAUGUCUAAAAGAUGAGAUAUAUAAGAGUCAAGAAAAAAAUUCUACACAACAACACUAAGGAAAUAUCAAAAUAUUAAAAUAUAGAUUUAUGUAGAGUUCCCCAAGAAAGAGAACAACACCAAAAAAAUCAAAGCUGUUUUUCUCCAUUAUUGUUUUAGUCUGUUUAGUAUUAAAAAAAUAAUUCUCAAGUGAAAAACAAACUUAAAUAUUAUAAUACAUAAUAUGCACAUAUAAAUUAAAAACUCUAUGUAAAAAUAGAAAAAUAUGUAUAAUAUUAACUUUUAAAAAUUUUAUUCUGUCAAAAAAUAAUUUUGAGACAAAAAUCUUUUCAUAUCUCAUAAUUAA